AGUUUAGAUCUUUUCUUGGCCAUUAGUCAUGUUUGGUAAGCCAUUUAAAUGAUUUAGUAAGUCUCUUUUAUGAGUUAUGCAUUGCUUAUUGUAAAGAAUGGCAUCGGAGUCUGCCCUUUCAUCAAUGUAGGUAUGUAUAAACCCGUAGAUCCAAAAAUGUUUCAGAGCUCCGAGCUAUACAGUUGUAUUGAAGGUCGCUGUCAGGGUGAGAUCAUGUACCAGCUCCUCCUGUGCAUUGUUUUUCUUGUGAAGAGAAUCUGCGUGUUUGGGCUAGACGGGAGCAGCAGCAGGCACCAGACAGAGAGACAAGUGCCCCGACACUCACCGGCUGCUUACUCCAGGCACCAGCCUCUGGCUCUCUCUUUGCCAAGUAUUGCGCAAGCAGGUAUAACACCGAAACUGAGCUUUUCAGAUCAAACAUUUUUCUCUGAAGACACAAACUUCAUGUGUGAGAUGUUACGAGCUCAGACCAGGUGCUGAGGCUAUUUGCAUUGCUGGGUCUGUCCACCUCUGCAGAGCUGCUUGGCAAAUAAUGUGGUCACAGUUUGGCGGUAUUUCAGGAAGCCAGCAGCACAGAGGCAUCUUGACAUCGGGGUGGCCUGUAUUUAGCAAUGAAUUAAAGUUUCAUUCUUCAUAUUAAGGGUUUCACAGAGGUUGCUUGCUGCUCUCCAGAGGAGAUGGGCAGCGGAGCUGUUCAGGAGAUGAAAGCUUGUUGCCAAGUAAUCUGUUCAGCAAAUAUCUGGGUGUGCCUUCAGAGUGCAAUGAUACCAUGACUGUUCAGAGGAAACAGCACUGAAAAUGUCUGACAAUGGUAAAGUCUCACAAACUUUAAUCUCACAAGCUUAUUACUUGCAAACUUAAUUAGGUAUCGCAGGGAAAUGCAUAAACCUGUUUACUUCUACGCUCAGAAGGACUUUUGUGACAUUUUGCAACAAUAUAGAGAUAGGCGGCACCUUACAACCGUUAUGUUUCAGUCUUGCUGUGUUUUCAGGAGGCACUAAGGUGGUCAGUGGAGAUACUUUUUCUCUUAGGUGUAAAGCUUUAAUUUUAUAUGUAUUCUAAGUAAACAGGAUUAGGUCUAAUUAACUGUAGUUAUCUUAAUUGUGAAUUAAUUUGCUAUCAUACCUAUGCUCUAAUUAAUGUCUUAAAGAAUACUUACAUUAAUAUUUUUUGGUCCCAUCUGCCCUGCUUUCCCUUGCAAAUAAAUAUCCACGUUAUAGUUAACAAAUUAGUGGAUGCUGAAGAAGAGAAUUGCCUUUUCUUCUGUGGUGCAGGUUGAUUUUGAAACCCAGAAGUGACAGCAGUGGAAGGGCAGGCACUACUAAGUUACAGGGAGUGCAUCCAUAUUCAGGUUGGGUUGAAGGGCACUUUCAAGAUCUCUCUCCCAGUCGUCCCCACUUCCGGGGCUUUGGCUGGCAUCAGACAGUAGUCUUGGAGUGCAUGAACUGGAUUCUUUUCAGGUGAUACUAAACUGAAAGACAAGUUGUAGCAUUCAGCCCAUGGGGCCAGACAGGAGAUAAUCUUAAGUAAAAUAUCAAAACCUGAAAUGUGUGUGCUGUUGGUGUCAAAACCUCUGCAUCAACAGUUUUACUCUAGAGUGGUCCACGCUAUUUGCUAAUGUAGACCUAGCUAAAAGGUAGCACAAACUAGAGUCUUUUUCUGUUGAUAAUUUCCAGGAAACUGGGAACAGAAAAUAUCCCUCAUCUAUAGAAAGACAGACCUCAGGAUUUGUACUUUUUCAGUAGUCAGAAAAGAAAUAGCAUUCUUGUGCAUUACUACUGAUUAUUUAAAUUGCACCAUUUGAAUUCCUGUGCAAUUGAAAGAUCAGAAAUGAGGAGGCCAGGAAAUAGUUUAAUCUGCUGCUCCAGUUUCUCUCUACUGCUAGAUAAUCAGUUUUUGAUGGAAAAUGUGGCCAAUGUAUUGUCUCCUUUAUAGUCAGCACUUUUGACUUCUUUAAUUUUAGUUUCCCCUGUUCCACUGUUCUUAAAAAAUAAAAUCAUUUGUAAUGAAA